UACAGAGGGUGCGAGCGUUAAUCGGAAUUACUGGGCGUAAAGCGUGCGCAGGCGGUUGUGCAAGACAGAUGUGAAAUCCCCGGGCUUAACCCUGGGAAUUGCAUUUGUGACUGCACGGCUAGAGUGUGUCAGAGGGGGGUAGAAUUCCACGUGUAGCAGUGAAAUGCGUAGAUAUGUGGAGGAAUACCGAUGGCGAAGGCAGCCCCCCUGGGAUAACACUGACGCUCAUGCACGAAAGCGUGGGGAGCAAACAGG
rnacentral:rRNA from 1 species